rnacentral:rRNA from 1 species
UACGUAGGGGGCUAGCGUCGUCUGGAUUUAUUGGGCGUAAAGAGCGUGUAGGCGGCCAGGUAGGUCUGCUGUGAAAACUCGAGGCUCAACCUCGAGAUGUCGGCGGAAACCAUCUGGCUAGAGUCCGGAAGAGGAAAGUGGAAUUCCUGGUGUAGCGGUGAAAUGCGCAGAUAUCAGGAAGAACACCCGUGGCGAAGGCGGCUUUCUGGGACGGUACUGACGCUGAGACGCGAAAGCGUGGGGAGCGAACAGG